rnacentral:rRNA from 1 species
GACAGAGGCCUCGAGCGUUAGGCGGAAUCACUGGGCUUAAAGCGUGUGUAGGCGGACUUCUAAGUACCUUGUGAAAUCCCACGGCUCACCCGUGGAACUGCUCGGUAUACUGGUCGUCUUGAGCCUUCUAGGGGCGAGUGGAACAAAUGGUGGAGCGGUGAAAUGCGUAGAUAUCAUUUGGAACGCCAAUGGUGAAAACAACUCGCCGGGGAAGUGCUGACGCUGAGACACGAAAGCCAGGGGAGCGAACGGG